ensembl:misc_RNA Metazoa_SRP Metazoan signal recognition particle RNA
GCUGGGUGUAGUGGCGCACACCUGUAGUCCCAGCUACUCGGGAGGCUGAGGCAGGAGAAUUGCUUGAACCCAGGAGGUGGAGGUGGCAGUGAGCCAAAAUCGUGCCACUGCACUCCAGCCUGGGCAACAGAGCAAGACUCUGUCUCAA